GAUGAAGAACGUAGCAAAAUGCGAUACUUGGUGUGAAUUGCAGAAUCCCGUGAACCAUCGAGUUUUUGAACGCAAGUUGCGCCCGAAGCCUUUUGGCCGAGGGCACGUCUGCCUGGGCGUCACGCAUCGCGUCGCCCCCCACAACUCUCCGUAAAGGGAGCUUGUGUUUUGGGGGCGGAUAUUGGUCUCCCGUGCUCAUGGCGUGGUUGGCCGAAAUAGGAGACCCUCCGGUGGACGCACGAACUAGUGGUGGUCGUAAAAACCCUCGUCUUUUGUUUCGUGCCGUUAGUCGCGAGGGAAACUCUUUAAAAACCCAAAUGUGUCGUCUCUUGACGGCGCUUCGACCGCGACCCCAGGUCAGGCGGGACUACCCGCUGAGUUUAAGCAUAUCAAUAAGCGGAGGA
rnacentral:misc_RNA from 1 species